rnacentral:rRNA from 1 species
AUUGAACGCUGGCGGCAGGCCUAACACAUGCAAGUCGAGCGGAGCGGCGGACGGGUGAGUAAUGCCUAGGAAUCUGCCUGGUAGUGGGGGAUAACGUCCGGAAACGGGCGCUAAUACCGCAUACUAUCAGAUGAGCCUAGGUCGGAUUAGCUAGUUGGUGGGGUAAAGGCCUACCAAGGCGACGAUCCGUAACUGGUCUGAGAGGAUGAUCAGUCACACUGGACCUUAGACACGGUCCAGACUCCUACGGGAGGCAGCAGUGGGGAAUAUUGGACAAUGGGCGAAAGCCUGAUCAAGCCAUGCGGCGUGUGUGAAGAGGGUCUUCGGAUUGUAAAGCACUUUAAGUUGGGAGGCGUUACCAGCAGAAUAUGCCCCGGCUAACUUCGUGCCAGCAGCCGCGGUACUUC